UAGCUCAGCCGGAUAGAGUAGUGGCUUCCGAAGCCAUUGGUCGGGGGUUCGAAUCCCUC
rnacentral:tRNA from 1 species